CCAAUAGCGUAUAUUAAAGUUGUUGCAGUUAAAAAGCUCGUAGUUGAAUUUCGGAAUCAGUAUGUCGGUCGUGCCUCUGGUAUGUACUGGCGUCACUGGUUUCUCCCUUCUGACGAACCAUCAUGCUAUUAAUUUAGGGUGGUGGGAAAUCAGGCCUGUUACUUUUAAAAAAUUAGAGUGUUUAAAGCAGGCUCACGCUUGAAUACAUUAGCAUGGAAUAAUGAAAUAGGACUUUGAUCCCAUUUUGUUGGUUUCUAGGAUUGACGUAAUGAUUAAUAGGGAUAGUUGGGGGCAUUAGUAUUCAAUUGUCAGAGGUGAAAUUCUUGGAUUUAUUGAAGACUAACUACUGCGAAAGCAUUUGCCAAGGAUGUUUUCAUUAAUCAAGAACGAAAGUUAGGGGAUCGAAGGCGAUCAGAUACCGUCGUAGUCUUAACCAUAAACUAUGCCGACUAGGGAUCGGAUGAUGUUAAUUUUUUAAUGACUCAUUCGGCGCCUUACG
rnacentral:rRNA from 1 species